rnacentral:rRNA from 1 species
AUAAUGGGUCAGCGACUUAUAUUCUGUAGCAAGGUUAACCGAAUAGGGGAGCCGAAGGGAAACCGAGUCUUAACUGGGCGUUAAGUUGCAGGGUAUAGACCCGAAACCCGGUGAUCUAGCCAUGGGCAGGUUGAAGGUUGGGUAACACUAACUGGAGGACCGAACCGACUAAUGUUGAAAAAUUAGCGGAUGACUUGUGGCUGGGGGUGAAAGGCCAAUCAAACCGGGAGAUAGCUGGUUCUCCCCGAAAGCUAUUUAGGUAGCGCCUCGUGAAUUCAUCUCCGGGGGUAGAGCACUGUUUCGGCAAGGGGGUCAUCCCGACUUACCAAC